rnacentral:rRNA from 1 species
UACGUAGGGGGCUAGCGUUGUCCGGAAUCACUGGGCGUAAAGGGUUCGCAGGCGGAAAUGCAAGUCAGAUGUAAAAGGCAGUAGCUUAACUACUGUAAGCAUUUGAAACUGCAUAUCUUGAGAAGAGUAGAGGUAAGUGGAAUUUUUAGUGUAGCGGUGAAAUGCGUAGAUAUUAAAAAGAAUACCAGUGGCGAAGGCGACUUUCUGGCAAUCAUCAGACGCUGAGGUACGAAAGCGUGGGUAGCAAACAGG